rnacentral:lncRNA from 1 species
GUUCUGGCGUGGGCUUGCUGAUCUUCUCCCUGCCACUGUGACCCUGGACUCCACCCCAUCCUUCCUGCCUUAGACUUGGUCAGUCAAGAGGGACAGAUUACGCUGGGACCCCACAGCCCGCCUCAUGAGCAGUGGGCUGGGGCCUUCCCUGGAGCAGAGAGCAGACCUCACCCUGCUUCUCCUCCCCCGCCCCCUUCCCCGGGGCUACAAUGGUUGCUUUUGUUGGCAAGUAUUGUAUGUCCGAGCUCUUUUCCACUGAGGAAGCCUUUGUUAGGAAGGGACAGGGGAGCAUAGCUAAGAGUCUGGGCCAGAAGGUGGGGGAAAUGGCUGGGUGGCCGGCCCCAUUUCUGGGGAUGAACAGGGCCAAAGCAAAGAAACCUACGGCCGUCAGCUGGAGACCCUGCUAGGAAGGCACGUCUGGGUUCCCAGUCUCGCCUUGGGAUUCUGCGCGGGCCAGACCAACUUGGGUGUUUCUCUUGCUGACAGUCUUCAACACUUAACCAACACCUCUCGGUCCAAGGCCCUGGCGGUGCAGGGGGAGAUGCCAACGGUUCACACUGCACACCGUCAGCAACCGGUUGGGAGACAUGACGGGUGCGUGAGAAAGCCUGAAAACAAGGCCACGAGCAUCCCUGGACACUGCCGUAAGUCUGUCCUAACAUCUCCUCCAUCCUCUCUGGCCCCUGAAACCUCUUCUCCAGCCACAUCCAGAGGAGGUAUUUGAAACACACCUCAGAUCAAGUGGCCACCUCCACUAUUAAACCUCCAGUAAAGAUCAGACUCCCUAACUCAGCCUAUGAAGCUCUGCAUGGGGUGGUCAUGCCGACUCUCCUGCUUCCACAAACCCCCACACACAGCCCUCCAGCCUAGCUCCUUGUAUGCCAUGCUCUUCUAGCCUCAGGGCCUUUGCACAGGCUGUCCCCUCUGCCCUGAAUGCUCUAUCCUGCCUCUUCACCCAGUCAAUCCCUGCUCACCCUUUAGACGUCCUUCCAGUCAUCCCUUCCUGAAGCCUAUCCUGGCUUCUCCGCUGGAUCAAAGCCCCCUGUUGCUGCACU